GCUCAGUGGUCAAACGAUCUAUCUUGUGCUCGGUGUCAUCACUGCGAGAGCUUUUCAGUGGCAAGAGGACUGCUGCUGCUGCUGCUCUGUGCCUCAACAGAGCCAGCAUCGACAGGUUACAGGUUUGCAUCUCCGGUCUUCUGCAUGUAAUCUGAUUAGGGAUGGAUAAACAAAAACAAGAGCUGUCCUUGGAUUUACCAGUGAUCAGGCCCCCCACUUAGUGUAUUUGACAAGCUGAGUUGGACACUCUGUAUCAGUGAGUGUCAGUUUGUCAAAUACCCCAAGUGAGGUGUCACUUCUCAACCAACAGAAGUCACUGAACCGUCCAGCACCAGAAAAAACUUCAGUCACUUCCCUGAUGCACUCCCUCUGUAAAUACUGAUGAGAUAGAUAAAAUGCACUGUUAACUCUUUCAGAUUCAAAUAAUAAUUUUUGUUUCUUGCAAAUGUUUGACAUUAACGUCUGAGUUUAAUUUGGCAUGCAUACAACUUUUUGCAUGCAUUAAAUGUUGUACAACCUUCUUGUUUUGUAAACGCUUUACAACGGCAAAAUCAUUUUUGAAUGUGUUGCAAUAACAGUGUUGCAUGAGAAAAUGUUGUCAUGUGUCAAUGUGGAGUCUGCACUUGACAAAUGACUAUGUCUCGCUUAGUAACAGUAAAGGCAGUGGUAGUGCUGUUUAAAUAUGGGUUUUUGCAAACUUGUAUAUUAAAUUGUUUGUGUUUAAAAUAUAUGGAGCCAAGGUUGUUUUCUGCUCAAUGAGUGGAUCUGAUGCUGCAGCUCAAGUAAGCAGGGAGAAGUGAACCACGCCAUGUCCCCUUGUGCCACAUAGUAUUUGGCUGACGUUCUUUAUUUUAAUGCGCAUGUAUUAAAAGUAAAGAUACAAUAAUUUGUGUAAUAUAAGUAGUAAAAGCUGAAAAGUCAUGCAAACUCCGACACUCUUUAUUCUGUCUUGGUUGCUCUGUGGUGUAGUGGGGUAAGUCUGAGUCUUUUUGGGCGGACCCGGGUUUAAAUUGCGGUAUUGUCAGGAAGGCCAUCUGGCGUAAAAACCCUGCCAAGUCUAUCUGUAAGUUUGUAAUGAUUUCCUGCAGCGACCCCUGAAUAAAAGAGCAGCUGAAUGGAGUCACUUAUCAAA